rnacentral:rRNA from 1 species
AGAUUGAACGCUGGCGGCAUGCCUUACACAUGCAAGUCGAACGGUAGAGUAGCAAUGCUCGAGAGUGGCGAACGGGUGAGUAAUAUAUCGGAACGUGCCCAGUCGUGGGGGAUAACGUAGAGAAAUUUACGCUAAUACCGCAUACGAUCUAAGGAUGAAAGCGGGGGAUCGCAAGACCUCGCGCGAUUGGAGCGGCUGAUAUCAGAUUAGGUUGUUGGUGAGGUAAAAGCUCACCAAGCCGACGAUCUGUAGCUGGUUUGAGAGAACGACCAGCCACACUGGACUGAGACACGGCCCAGACUCCUACGGAGGCAGCAGUGGGAAUUUGGACAAGUGGCGAAAGCCGUGAUCCAGCAAUGCCGCGUGCGAAGGAAGAACGGCCGUUACGGUUAGUAAACUUGUCUUUUAGUACGGAAACG